AUGGGCAUGCCCAGUGAUACGGUUAGAACCUUGCACCAAGUUUCACUUCCUCCAGGUUUUACCAGCUGCAAAAGCAAGGAGGAGACAGAGGGAAGAGUUAAAACAGAAGGACAGCACCCGGCGUCACGUAACCCAGCCUUCUCUGGCUCCACCACCACCUCCUCCUUCCCAGCUCUUUCCCUCUCCUCCUCCUUCUGCUCCCCUCCGUUGCCUGUUCUCUCUUCCCGCACUCCUGGAGAUAGACGCUCAAGCCCGACGCCUCUGAAAAGGCAGCGGCAGUCGCCUUAUCCAGACCUCAGGAAAUUCGCUUUGACCGAUGUAUGCCUCAAGCUCUGGCUGGAGCUAAGGGGGAAUAACCGUGCAGAUUUCUCCUUAUAAAAAGACAAAAUAAAACCAAAAUGCAUCACCA
rnacentral:lncRNA from 1 species